UGGAUCACUGUGACGAUGGUCUUCUGUCUGUCUGCUGGAAGUUUGGCUGAAAUAGACUUAAACCGGCUCGCAGGACUUGCAAAUCAGAUAAGGACAAAUAUCCGAAACAGGUACAACAUUGAAGGAUUGUAUGCCAUGGCUGCAAGUAUUCCAAAGGAUGAAAACCAAGUUUCCUAUGACCUCACAAAGGUGAUGCCAAACCAACAGACUCAAUUGAAUGACGGCAUCCUCAGGACUUCUAGACUUGUGGUAGCCACAAAGAAAGACGUAACUAAGGUCACUCGGUCAGGGACAGUUCACUAUACUGAACAUGCUGAGUGGCGUGUUCUGCAGAAUCUACAGCUUUACGGUAAUGGUGAUUUGUUGGUCUUCUUCUCUUAUGCCUCUCCAUGUGAUGAAAAGUGUGCAAAUCCAACAGGAAACUUAGGGAUCAUUGGUGGACUCAGCAGUCUCUUUAGUCAAUCUGGGUGGGGUGCAAAGGCGUUUGUAUUUAACACUUUAUUCAGGCCACAUGGGGGGGACAUUAAUUCAGACACGAUACAUAAGGCCCUGACAAAUCUUAAAGCCAUUGGUCGCCAUAACAUAUUUCGCUGUUACAGGCCUGAUAAUGGUCAUUUCCAUUGCAUCAAAUGCUUCAGUAGUGAUCAGAUUGACCCAAACUGUAUCUCAUAAUGCACCAACUCAUUGAUGUAACAAGGAACGUUUAAAAAAAACAAGUGAAUAAACAAAUGUUUUAGAAGCUGAAGUUUCUACUCGCGCUCUACUUGUUCACUUUCUUUCUCUAACAUGGACUUUACUGUCUGAGCCAUUUAAGGUCCAGCUAGGCUUAAAUUUGUCUUUGCUAACUGAUACAAACCAUAAAUUGCUAUUUUUAUUCUUAUUUUUAAAGUAAUGCAGCUCAGUUUAGAGGGAAUCGCCCCAAAACCUCUGACGAUAAUCGUGCUGGAACUGAUUUGACUGUAACAAAUUUAUAUCGAAUGGCUCGAAUCGAAUCGAAUUUUACUGCUUAAAUAGGCAGAGCCAUAAAUCCCAGUGAACCUGGAGAGCACCAUUUAUGUGCUUUUUCACUCACUGUUCAUGUUUAUUUGACUCCCCGAGGAUUCGAACAAGCAACCAGAAACUAAUUACAUACAUAAGAAUCACCUUCAACAUUACACAUGAUUAGUAAACAUUAUCAAAUAUAAUUUGUUUUGUUAACAGUAGAUUAUUUACUAAAAGUUAAUCACCCAUCAGUUUACCAUUUAUUAAGAAUAAUUGUUGUGAAGUGUUCCUUUUGAAUGUGUUUGUUGGUGCUUUUAUUUUGAAUGUUUGCAGCUUCACUUUGAGUGACACCUGGAACUGAACCUGUAACGUUCAGGUUAACUGAAGAGAAAGCUGAUAGAAAACUACAGUCUGUAUUUACAUCGUUUCAAUGGAGAAUUGAUGUUUUUACAUCAUUUGUGUCUUUAAAGCCUGAUGAAAUCUUCUCUGAUUAAAGCUUUGCUCAGCAAA